rnacentral:sRNA from 1 species
UUCAAGAGCCCUCUGAAGGUCCUCACCUUGAUUCAGUGCCUGGGGAUGUAUGACUCUUCUCUGGCUGCCAAGUACCUCAUCCAUAGCUUGGUUUUUGGAUCAGCAAUUUACAGUUCUGGUUCUGAAAGACAUCUCACAUAUAUUCAGAAGAUCUUCAGGAUGGAGAUUUUUGGAUGUUUUGCUCUGACCGAGUUAAGCCAUGGCAGUAAUACCAAGGCCAUUCGCACGACUGCCCACUACGAUCCUGCCACUGAGGAAUUCAUCAUACAUUCCCCUGAUUUCGAAGCUGCCAAGUUUUGGGUUGGCAACAUGGGCAAGACAGCCACUCACGCGGUGGUGUUUGCUAAGCUGUAUGUGCCGGGGGACCAGUGCCAUGGGCUGCAUCCCUUUAUCGUGCAGAUCCGGGACCCGAAGACCCUUCUUCCCAUGCCCGGAGUGAUGGUCGGCGACAUAGGGAAAAAACUCGGGCAGAACGGUCUGGAUAAUGGUUUCGCCAUGUUCCACAAGGUCAGAGUUCCUCGCCAGAGCCUUCUGAACCGGAUGGGAGACGUCACCCCCGAGGGCACCUACGUCAGCUCCUUUAAGGACGUCAGGCAGCACUUUGGAGCGACCCUGGGGAGCCUGUCCUGGAGCCGGGUCUCCAUCGUGAGCCUGGCCAUCCUUAACCUAAAGCUGGCCGUGGCCAUCGCUCUUCGCUUCUCAGCCACUCGGCGUCAGUUUGGACCCACAGAGGAGGAGGAAAUACCAGUGCUUGAGUAUCCAAUGCAGCAAUGGCGCUUGCUUCCAUAUCUGGCAGCUAUCUACGCCUUAGACCACUUCUCCAAGUCGCUCUUCCUGGACCUGAUGGAGCUCCAGCAAGGACUUGCAUCGGGAGACCGCAGCGCCAGACAGGCAGAGCUUGGACGUGAGAUCCACGCCCUGGCAUCGGCCAGCAAGCCCCUGGCCUCGUGGACCACCCAGCAAGGAAUUCAGGAAUGCCGGGAGGCGUGUGGAGGACACGGCUAUCUGGCCAUGAACCGGUUGGGUGUCCUUAGAGAUGACAACGAUCCCAACUGCACAUACGAAGGUGACAACAACAUCCUACUGCAGCAGACAAGCAAUUAUUUGCUGGGCCUCCUGGCACACCAGGUCCAGGAUGGAGCUUGCUUCCGCAGUCCACUGAAGUCAGUGGACUUUCUGGAUGCCUAUCCCGGCAUCCUUGACCAGAAGUUUGAAGUCUCCAGUGUUGCCGACUGCUUGGACUCUGCAGUCGCCCUGGCAGCAUACAAGUGGCUGGUUUGCUACCUGCUCCGAGAGACUUAUCAAAAAUUAAACCAAGAGAAAAGAUCAGGAAGCAGUGACUUUGAAGCAAGGAACAAAUGCCAGGUGUCCCACGGCCGUCCGUUGGCGCUGGCCUUCGUGGAGCUCACGGUGGUCCAGAGGUUCCACGAGCACGUGCACCAGCCCUGCGUGCCGCCCUCACUGCGGGCCGUGCUGGGGCGGCUCAGUGCUCUGUACGCCCUGUGGUCCCUGAGCCGCCACGCGGCCCUGCUCUACCGAGGUGAGGCUUCUGACUGCGGGCUUGCUGUCCUCCCCAGAGUCAGGGCCCCCCUGUUGUAUCUAGGAAGCUGCUUCCUGCACCAUCGUCCUCCUUCCACGGGACUUACUGAGCACGGCGGAUGGCGCUGUGGACAGAUGAGGGGCCCAGUUCCGUAAUGAGAAGCAUAUGGGGCAGAGCAGCGUCAGGGUGGCGCCGAGAGACCCAAUUUUUCUUUCACUUGGGGUUCGGUUCAGAGAACACUUCCAGAAGUCCCCCUCAUGCCAGGCAGCCUGCCGGGCUCUGCAGAGAGCAGAAGCCCACCUCCUAGGUCCCAUAAGGCACAGACAGACACGAGCCAGGAGUGCCUAGACUUGGGAACACUGGAAGGCUUCCUGGAGGAGGGGGUGCUGGGGCUGAUUCCUGGAGGAUUGGUGGGAAUAGGGUAAACCAAAGUUUGUCAACUUUUUGUUCAUUGUUGCCCCCCAGGAAGUCUUUUUAGGUGGUUUUUCCCAAUGGCUGGCUCCUUGCAUC